rnacentral:rRNA from 1 species
GAUGAACGCUGGCGGCGUGCCUAAUACAUGCAAGUCGAGCGAACAGAUAAGGAGCUUGCUCCUUUGACGUUAGCGGCGGACGGGUGAGUAACACGUGGAUAACCUACCUAUAAGACUGGGAUAACUUCGGGAAACCGGAGCUAAUACCGGAUAACAUAUUGAACCGCAUGGUUCAAUAGUGAAAGGCGGCUUUGCUGUCACUUAUAGAUGGAUCCGCGCCGUAUUAGCUAGUUGGUAGGGUAACGGCUUACCAAGGCAACGAUACGUAGCCGACCUGAGAGGGUGAUCGGCCACACUGGAACUGAGACACGGUCCAGACUCCUACGGGAGGCAGCAGUAGGGAAUCUUCCGCAAUGGGCGAAAGCCUGACGGAGCAACGCCGCGUGAGUGAUGAAGGUCUUCGGAUCGUAAAACUCUGUUAUCAGGGAAGAACAAAUGUGUAAGUAACUGUGCACAUCUUGACGGUACCUGAUCAGAAAGCCACGGCUAACUACGUG